UGGGGAAUAUUGCACAAUGGAGGAAACUCUGAUGCAGCAACGCCGCGUGAGUGACGAAGGCCUUCGGGUUGUAAAGCUCUGUCAUCUGGGACGAUAAUGACGGUACCAGAGGAGGAAGCCACGGCUAACUACGUGCCAGCAGCCGCGGUAAUACGUAGGUGGCGAGCGUUGUCCGGAAUUACUGGGCGUAAAGGAUGCGUAGGUGGGAAUUUAAGUCAGAUGUGAAAUACCCGAGCUUAACUUGGGCACUGCAUUUGAAACUGAAUUUCUUGAGUGCAGGAGAGGAAAGCGGAAUUCCUAGUGUAGCGGUGAAAUGCGUAGAGAUUAGGAAGAACACCAGUGGCGAAGGCGGCUUUCUGGACUGUAACUGACACUGAGGCAUGAAAGCGUGGGGAGCAAACA
rnacentral:rRNA from 1 species